UGGGGAAUAUUGCACAAUGGGCGCAAGCCUGAUGCAGCCAUGCCGCGUGUGUGAAGAAGGCCUUCGGGUUGUAAAGCACUUUCAGCGAGGAGGAAGGUGGUGAGCUUAAUACGCUCAUCAAUUGACGUUACUCGCAGAAGAAGCACCGGCUAACUCCGUGCCAGCAGCCGCGGUAAUACGGAGGGUGCAAGCGUUAAUCGGAAUUACUGGGCGUAAAGCGCACGCAGGCGGUUUGUUAAGUCAGAUGUGAAAAUCCCCGGGCUCAACCUGGGAACUGCAUUUGAAACUGGCAAGCUAGAGUCUCGUAGAGGGGGGUAGAAUUCCAGGUGUAGCGGUGAAAUGCGUAGAGAUCUGGAGGAAUACCGGUGGCGAAGGCGGCCCCCCUGGACGAAGACUGACGCUCAGGUGCGAAAGCGUGGGGCAGCAAACAGGAUUAGAUACCCUGGUAGUCCAGCGCUGUAAACGAUGUCGAUUUGGAGGUUGUGCCCUUGAGGCGUGGCUUCCGGAGCUAACGCGUUAAAUCGACCGCCUGGGGAGUACGGCCGCAAGGUUAAAACUCAAAUGAAUUGAC
rnacentral:rRNA from 1 species